rnacentral:lncRNA from 1 species
CCACCCCAUCUUGUAACUUUCUUGCAUUUCUCAUCCCUAAUUAGAUAGGCACAGCAGCAGAUCAGAAAGCCUGUUCAUCCAGAAGCAGAGUUCUAGCCAGGAAAGUGAAUACCAGUCUGCAACUUCAACCUCAAUGGGUGACUAUCUGUGAAGCUCCUCUGCUGGGGGAGAGUGGGCAGCCUCUCCCUUGCCCACUGGGAGAAAAGGGAGUGACCCCGGGAAUGCACUUGGUAAAUAGGAGUUCAAUAACUGUUUGUUGAAGAAAGAAAAGAACUAUGGUGGGUCAGAUGAGAGACAAAAAUCACUCUGCAGAGAUACAGCAUGCAGGAGACCACCUCUGAGACUGAGGCAAGAGUGUGCCUGAAAUGCCAGGGGUUCGAUCUAGGUCCUGCUGUUCCCUGACACAGAAAGCCAAUGACUGACACAAUGAGUAUUGCCAAAGAAGAAGGCUUUCAUCGAGUGCUGCAGCCAAGGAAAUGGAAGAUCAGUUUCAAAUCCAUCUCCCUGAACAACUAAAAAUAGAGGUUUCUACAGCAGGGAAGAAAUGUGACUAUGCAUGGGAAAACAGGAAUUAGGGAGGGGUCAUGAGGCAAUCAUGAUGAAUGAGGGGUCUGACAUCCCAUUGGCUGGAUGUGGUUACAUGAUGAGUUUCUGUUCUUUGACACUUUUUGAAAGGCCUGAGGGCCCUUUCCUUACAAAGAAACUCAGAUAAAACCAAUGUGAGUUUCAAGCUUUAAGACCAGAAGAGUCCAUUUCUAUGUUACUAUAGGAAAAGAAAAAAACUGCCUAUGGGACUAUUGGGUUGGUUUCAAGAGGUUAUCUGAAAGGCAAGGCGGCCUCCAUAACUGCUUAUUUUCUUUUCUUUUGAAACUGUCAUUGUCUUCCCAACAUCUAGGCUUAUGAUCAUAUGGGUAAGCUUAGAUCAUACAUUCUGUCUACUCUACCCAGACCAGAAUCAUACAAUCAAAGACAUACAGAGUCAACUAGGUAAUAUAAGUGAGCAGAGUUGGACUGGAGUAAGGUCCAUGGAGGACUGCAACUAAACGGGUACAUCUUGUCUGGAGUUGGACUAAAUCAUUGUGAAGCUUUAAGUCAGAUUUUCUUAGUGUGUUAUUUAUACACCCUCCUGGCAUAUGAGUGACAGGAAAGUCAAAGUCAUUGACUCUCUAAUAUUUAUUGAGCACCUUCAAAUACUUUUUGAGUAUCUACUAUUAUUGGGCACCUACAAACACUUAUUGACCAUGUGCCAAGCACAGUGCCUAGCAAGUUCUUCUUUUCUAAUCAAAUCAACAGGUUGGACAUCCCUACCCAAGGCUCAAAUGGUAACAGGUCCAUGCCUUACUUGUGUCAGUUCUCUUAUUGAAAGAGCAUCUCCUAACCAUCCUACCAAUAAGGUAAAGGUGUUAUUUUGAAUCUGAAUCAAAAUGAACCUUCUCCAUAAAUCUCUUCCUCACUAGCUGGCCCAUACCUUAUUACCUUUUCUGGGUCCUUCCCUUAAUAAUUAGCACUGAGCUCACAAUUAUUGCUUUUUCUCUUAACAUGUUGCUUUGUAAUUGUCUCCAAGAUCCCCUCCUAUUUUUAUAUAUCCAAUUUACUAAAUCAUUCCUAUUUCUUCAGCAGCCCUGAAUGCAGCGCACUGUGAUUCAAUAAAUGUUUGUUAAUGAAGGGAACUACAAGCUGGUUGGGAAUCAAAUCUUUUCCCGUGGGAGUUACCAGGGAUAAAGUCAGUCAGACCCUUCUAUGGCCUGAGAAGUGCUGGGAGUAGCUUCCUUUAGAAGUUCAAUAAAAACAAGUCUCUGA